AGGAUAUUAGUUAAUUUUAUAACAUUUAAAUUGCAUUUAAAAAUUAUAUAACUAAUAUAUAUAUAUCUUU
rnacentral:tRNA from 1 species